UUCAAAAUGGCGAUGAGAAUUAGACUCAUCCCUGCUGUGGUGCUUUGCUUCCUAGGACUGGGCCUUGUGGACAUGGACGUAACCCAGACGCCAAGAUAUCUGGUCACAAGAACGGGAGAGGAAGUUUUGCUGGACUGUGUACAGUAUUUGGGCCAUGAAAGAAUGUACUGGUAUCGACAAGACCCAGGUCUAGGGCUACGGUUGAUUCAUUUUUCAUAUGAUGUUGACAGUAACAGCGAAGGAGACAUCCCUGAAGGAUACAGGGUCUCUCGAAAGAAGCGGGAGUCUUUCUCCCUGAUUCUGGAGUCUGCGAAAACCAGCCAGACGUCUGUGUACUUCUGUGCCAGCAGUUUAUCCACAGCUCGUUCCUAUGAGCAGUAUUUCGGUCCAGGCACCCGGCUCACAGUCUUAGAGGAUUUGAGCAAGGUGAGUCCGCCCAAGGUCACCUUGUUUGAGCCAUCAGAAGCAGAGAUCGUCGACAAACAAAUGGCCACCCUUGUGUGUCUGGCCAGGGGCUUCUACCCUGACCACGUGGAACUGAGCUGGUGGGUGAAUGGCAAGGAGGUCCACAGUGGAGUCAGCACAGACCCUCAGCCCUACAUGGAGAACAAUAACCUCACCUACUGCCUGAGCAGCCGCCUGAGGGUCUCUGCGACCUUCUGGCACAACCCUCGCAACCGCUUCCGCUGCCAAGUCCAGUUCUAUGGGCUUACAGAUGAAGACGUGUGGAACGAGGACUCGCCCAAGCCUGUCACCCAGAACAUCAGUGCAGAGGCCUGGGGCAGCGCAGACUGUGGCAUCACCUCAGAAUCCUAUCAUCAAGGGGUCCUGUCUGCCACCAUCCUCUAUGAGAUCCUUCUGGGGAAGGCUGCCUUGUAUGCUGUGUUUGUCAGUGCCCUGGUGCUGAUGGCUGCGGUUAAGAAAAAGAAUUCCUGAGACUGACUCUUGUGCAUCCUGGGUUGCUCUCUAUCCUGAUCCUGGAUUCUUCUGCACCUUCUCCCGUCCCUCUUCCUAAGGAGUUAUUCUUUCUUCAUAGCAUGCUUCCCCUCCAUGAAUAUCUGUCUUUCCUUGCCGCUUCCCAAAGACUGACCUCCUGACUCUGAAACAGACUAAGCCAAUAAAAGUGUUGACUGGA